rnacentral:rRNA from 1 species
AACGAACGCUGGCGGCGUGGAUUAGGCAUGCAAGUCGAACGCGAAAGAGGGGGCAACUCCUCGAGUAGAGUGGCGAACGGGUGAGUAACGCGUGAAGAACCUGCCUUUGACAGGGGGAUAACACUCCCAACGGAGUGCUAAUACCGCAUGAGACCACGGGUUCGCAUGGACCCGAGGUCAAAGAUGGCCUCUAUUUAUAAGCUAUCGGUCGAAGAUGGCUUCGCGUCCCAUUAGCUAGUUGGCGGGUAACGGCCCACCAAGGCGACGAUGGGUAGCUGGUCUGAGAGGAUGGUCCAGCCACACUGGGACUGAGAUACGGCCCAGACUCCUACGGGAGGCUG